rnacentral:lncRNA from 7 species
UUUUGUUUGACAGCUGCAUUCCAAUUCCUGAGCUACGUACUAGCUGCUUGUGUUGUCCAGGGAAUCCACUGAGUUUUCUGUUGCUGCUUCUCAGUUAAUCCCUGUGCCAGGAAAGGGAUGGAAUCAAACCCAAGAGAAGAAGCUGAAAAAGGUCAAGGUACACCCUCUGCAAUCUCCUGUCCACAGCCAGGCUCUGAGGUGGAGGGCUUCCCCUGCCAUGCAUGUCUAUUGGUGCAGAGGUGCUGAGCUCUCCCAUUGCAGUGAGCAGUUGCUUCAGUCCAGGGAACCAGGCACUCCUGGGGAAGUGUAUGCUAUGGAACUGCAGAGCUGUGUGAGAAACCUUCCCAUGCAGCUCAGCUCUUUAGUUCAGAAGAACAACUGCUUACCUAUGUUGCUGGAACAGUUAACAGUCCUGACUGAAGACUUUUAUAACCGCUGAAAGUCUUUCAGGGAAGACUUACUGUUCUGAAAGAGAAGGGAAGGAAUGUUUCAUCAGGGAAAUCUGAUGACUGCUUAAUCUGCAUGGGAACAUCCUAAGCUGUUAAAUGGACAUGAUGAAAGAUGUCUAUACAUUCUACAUAUGUGCAGGAGAGCAGCGGGGCUGGAGGAGUUUCAUUUGAUUGAAUCAUCAGUGAAAAUCCAGCAUUUCAUGACCUUGAAGAAGAUGCAGCAGCCAUGCGCUCUGCUAUAGCAGACAAUCCAAAAUGAAAAUAUAUGUCAUAGGCAUCUACAUAAGACAUUCUUCUGCUCCUUGAAGCUUCAGACCUACUAAUGAAACCUACGUAAGAAAUGAAUGGUGAUGUAAAGUCAAUAGCUUCAGUGUCUGACAUGGUUGAGUUAAAAACUAUGAGAAGAGUAUUUCAUGUGUAGAGGGAAAACUGGAUUGUGAGGGCUUUGUCCUUCAACAAAAUAGUGCAACAUGUUUUAGGAACAGUUAAGUGGUAUACUUUCAGAUUAUUUUUUUUUGUAUGCUGGCUUUUCAGCCCUUUGAUUUUAUACAUUAGCCUGUAUUACAGAGGGUAACAAACUGAGAGUGACUGAGAAGAGUUGGUGCAGAGGCUAAGUUUAAUCAGCUCUGCCAAGCCUGUUAAAUGAAGUGUUGUUUUGUACAUGUGCAUCAGUUUAGAAAAAGGUCUGAAACUUUUGGUAUCUCUCAUACAUGCCACCGUUUCAUGCUGAUUCUUCCCUUCUAAGCUGUUGGAACAUAUUGUCGAGAAGGGUAAAUGUGGUUUGGAAGAAAAUUUCACAGCCCCUUGGUG